CACCGACCGACCUCCCGCCGGGCCGACCGGCCUCCCGCCGGGCACCCAGCCAUCUUCCUCGCACCUGCUAAGCCACCCGACGAGCCAUCCGGUACCUGCUAAUCAUCCGAUCCAGAUCUAAUCAUGGAAAACUUGGCAGAUUUGUUUUUUCUGCAUUGUUUGACUAGAGGUCAUUAUCAUGUUUCUCUAAGUUGGCCAGCGUCUUCGAGAAGAUGGCAUGGGCAUCGCCAAUGGUGGCUAUGACUAGCAGUCAAGCAUAUUCGCGUCCAGCCGCCAAAGGCCACACGCACUACUUCGUUGAUAGCUGAAUCAGACAGGUGUUAGAUUGUUUGUAGCUGUAAGCGGUGCUGCUGGCAUAAAAAUAUGCAUGAUGAAUUGGUGAUCAAAGGAUUAGUAUCAUAUUAGCAGUAAGAUUUGGCUAGCGUUGACUAAUGCUGA